ensembl:lncRNA
CACGUCGAGAUGGUGACCGAAAUUAAAUCGUUUAAUUUCUCUAUAGACCGCUGAAGAAUGGCACGGUUUAAAGAAAUAUUACUGCUUCCCAACCCAGGCUUUGUCUAGGCUGGGCUAGCUUAGCCACAUGAGCUAACACGGUGUGUGUUUUUCCAGACCUGGAUUCCACCUGCAUUACACACACACUGCUCUAACACACCCGCCUCCGCCCAGCAGCCCAUUAGCAAGCUCUUUCAUCAGGUUGGAAUUGGGAAAUUUUCUUAAACACGAGCGAGUUUCGGGAGCAUGUCUGGAAAAUACAAAGCAGUGAUGUGCCGUUCGCGAAGGAGUCGGCUCUUUCAUUCGACUCUUUGAGGUGCGAGCUGAGAGUCGACUCGCGUAUAUGAGUGGAUUCAGUAGGUUCCCAGCCCUGGUGCUGAAGAAUGAACUGUCCUGCGCAUUUGAGACUUUACUGCUCACACACUUCAUCUCAGGGUGUGCUGUUAGUUAGCAGAUCAGUUGAAUCUGGUGUGUUUGAGCCGAGAAAACACUACACAGUGUAGGACAGAGAGUUCUCCAGGACCAGGGUUGGGAAGCUCUUGGUGUAUGCAUGUUCAUUAGUGUGAAUGGUGAGUUGUGUGACUUGGGUAGGGCUGGGCAAUAUGACAAAAAUAUAUCAAUGCACAUCUCUAUAUAAUUUAGCUAACAAACUGUCUGCAAAACUAGCAAAAUAAACAAAAGAAACCCUGUUAAACUGUCUUUGAUGGUGCUUUUCUUUAAUGCCGACAAAGAAGAUUGGCAAAUCAACCGCAUCCGUUCAGUACCGUUUAAAAUAUAUAUCACCAUACCAACAGUAUCUCAGAAAGGUGUAUUGUGUAAUCAUUUUAGGGCUGUGACUAACGAUUACUUUCAUAAUCGAUUAAUUGGCUGAUUUUUUUCUUUUUUGAUUAAAAAACUUUCAAUACUAUUUUUUCAUUGAUUUAAAUCCACAAACUGAGAUGUUACAUAUAUAAACUCUAAAUUACCACAACUGUUUGACCAAUAUAUAAAUAAGAUUAUUUAUAUAUGUGUAUUUAUGCAUUAUUUUUUAUGGAUGCACUUAUAAUUAAACUACAGUCCUAAAUUAACAAUAAAAUCUCACUUUCACUGCACCUUAUGGUUUCAGGUAUAUUGCCUUUAGAUAUAUUGUUUUACUUGUUUAUUUUUAUCAUACUGUUUUAAUCAGACAUUACAGAUCUUACUUGCAUCUACGUCCCUGCGUCUGCAUGGCAAGUGAAGUGCAACGUGGCCUCGUUACUAAUAGUUCUCUAUAAUAAGUGACAGAAUUUACACUGCAAACGUGCAAAUUAUAUAAUGACAGUAAACUUGAUUUAGCUGAACCACUUAAGCAACUUGCACCAGUUUCCCCCCAACCCCUUGCACAUAGUGGAGAAUUUUGGAUAUAAACACAAAUUUGUGCUCGUGCAUCACUUUCGUGCUUCCACUCUACACAAGUUCCACUUUUCUUCUACACUACAUUUAAUAUAAAAUGCACCCCUGCCUUAGAGGACCUGGGUCGCGCACUUUUUUCCACUGUCACUUGACGAUUAUGUCUCCGUCUGAUGUGACUGAGCUCAUGUUGAGAGAUGAUACUACCCUUCUAAAAUUCAUACACUGGACGGCAGAGCGCAUAGUAUAAGUUUAUUGUACGUUAUUUGGGACACAACUUGGUCUGUAAUCUCCGAUGCAUGUUUUUGGAACAGAUGAGUAAACGUGCCGCGUGCGGACGACUAAUCAAUCAUGAGAUUCGUUGACACCGAUUUUCAUAAUCGAUUGGUUGUUGCAGCAGUAAAUCAUUUAUAAUGAUAAAUAUAAUAUUGAUAUAUUGCCUGGCCCUAGACUCAAGUGUGUGAGAAAGUGUGACAGUGUGAGACUCUAGACUACCGUUUAUUGAUACUAUAUAUGGUCUGUGUAAUAACAAUCAACAGGGAAGAUUUUAUUGCUACAUGGAGUCACUAUUUCAGCAACAUUGGAAGUUAUAUUUUCUUAAUUCUGCACAAAUUUGGUAUAGUGCUGUAAAAUGGCAGAUCCAAACGAUCGUCUUGAAUGAUUCCUCACACAAAUCCUAAAGGACACAUAGUCCGAUGUUUCCUCAGUUUCUCUCUCACAACUUUAGUUCUGACCUGCAGUUAGUGUAGAAGAAAAGCAUAUAACUGUGAUUUUCUUCUUACCCCGUCA